GCAGAGGAUUUUAAGGAAAGCUUAGCUGACGUGCUGGCCCUCGAUAAAGCCGCUUGUGGCCCAGACUGUCACCCGGAGCAUGCCCAGCCCUCGGUAGCCCUGGGCCCACAAGCCCUGACCAUGACCCCAGGAUUUCUGGAAUGCAUCAGUAGGUCAUCGCGUGCCCAGAACCACAGUUUUCCUGAAACCAGAAAGCUUCGUCUCUCCCGAAGACCAAAGAGAUACAGCACAAGCCGCAUCGCAUCAUCACCCCUCCCAAGCGACCACCCUGGCUGGAAGGCCAUCGCACUCUUCCCUUCCAGAAAACAGGCCACAUUGUAGUGACCCCAAAGGACCACCCAGUGUAGACCUGUCUGCGCAAAGGUGAUCCGGAAAAUCCAGGACUAGGGAAGAGGCAGAAGGGUAUGGGAAAGCCGAGACAGGAAACCAGAAGAAACACGUCCUUGCUCUCAAGAGGUAAAAAUGCGGAAGGAAAUGGAGUGGGGGAAAUGUAUGCAAACGGCGCAGAAAGCAUGCAUCCUGGAAACAGGAGCUGGAGUUCCCNNNNNNNNNNNNNNNNNNNNNNNNNNAGCAGUUUGCGAACUCAAGCAGCAUCCAUGAGGAUACAGGUUCGAUCCCCGGCCUCGCUCAGUGGAUUAAGGAUCCGGUAUUGCGGUGAGCUGCGAUGUAGCUGGCAGAUGCUGUUCAGAUCCCGCAUUGCCGUGGCUGUAGUGUAGUUCCCUAGCCUGGGAACCGCCAUGUGCCACAGGUACGGCCCUG
rnacentral:lncRNA from 1 species